AAAAACAUGUCUUUUUGAAUUUAAUUUAAAGUCUAAUCUGCCCACUGAUUUAAAAUUAAAGGGCUGCAGUAAUUUGACUGUACAAAGGUAGCAUAAUCAUUAGUCUUUUAAUUGAAGACUUGUAUGAAAGAUUUGAUGAGAUAUAAACUGUCUCUUAUUUAUAAUUAAAAUUUAAUUUUUUAGUUAAAAAGCUAAAAUAAAUUUAAAAGACGAGAAGACCCUAUAGAGUUUUAUAAUUUAUAAAUUAAAAUAUUUAUAUAAAAUUUUAAUAUUAAAUUUUGUUAAUUAUUUUAUUGGGGUGAUAAAAAAAUUUAAAAAACUUUUUUUUAAAAAUUUUCAUAAAUAAAUGAAUAAAUGAUCUUGAAUAAUGAUUAAAAGAAAAAAUUACCUUAGGGAUAACAGCGUAAUAUUUUUUUUUAGUACAAAUAAAAAAAAAAGUUUGCGACCUCGAUGUUGGAUUAAGAUAAAAUUUAAAUGCAAAAGUUUAAAAUUUUGAUCUGUUCGAUCAUUAAAAUCUUACAUGAUCUGAGC
rnacentral:rRNA from 1 species